GGCAACCUGCUUGCGUUUCCUGCCGUGUUCGUGUUGCUUGUUUAUUCUUUGGGUUUACGCUGAUUUUUAAAGAGUUGGAAGAUUCAACAUCAAGGUCUGCACGAGGCUAGCAGUUCACGUUUGUAAGCCUGUGAGACCGUGACUCCUCCAGGAAGAACGGGUGAACAGCUCCAGUAUGCGCUGCCUUUAAGAGCUGUCACACUCAUCUUGAAUGCCUGCAGCUUCACUCUUGAAGUCAGCCAGACCGCAAACCCACUGGGAAGAGAGAACAGAUUCCAGACACACCGUUUUUAAGAGCUGUAACACCGCGCGCCUCGCGGCUGCAUACUUGAAGUCAGUAAGACCAAGAAUCUGCCACAUCCGGACUUAUAUUAAUGAGCAAUAUUUAAUUAAAAGCUAAUUGAAUAUUCCAAGCGGCAAUUAUCUUGCAAUAGAGAUGCCAAAUCUGACAUGAGGAGGCAGGUGAGCAGAAAGCAGAACUUGUAUAAUUAUUCCUCUGAGAGAUGGAGAAGAGACCACACCAAGCAUUGCCACAGUGAGAGAUUAGUGAAGAUUCUGCCCUAAACAAAACCAUUUCCUUCGUUGAGCUUAUAUUGUACUUUAUUCAUCAGGAAAGGAAGAAAAGCAGGCCCAAGAUUAUUCUGAGACAACUGGAGGGUAAGAUUCUGAAAAUGAACCUGUGACAAGACUUAAGUAGAGAAGUACUGUGUUUCACAUUUUGAGCCAACCAGAUAAUCUGUGGAUACAUUUUGUAGUCCAUUGUAGAUUCCCAAACAACCAGAUGCCUUUUUUCUUCUUUGGAAUCAGUAGGAUUUAAAUAAUAUGCCUGGAAGACUUCUGAACCACUAGCAUCUUCAAGUUCCUGGCUAAAUUUACAGCCUCUUGUGUUCAGCACCUGGAUUGUGCUCAGGAUGGCAAGAGAACAAAGCAAUCUGCUUGCUGUACUUGGGAUAGAGAAGACCUGCACGAGAAAGCCAGAUAUUCAAGAUGGUGUGAUUUCUAUCACAAGCUCUGAAGAUGCUGUACAUCCAUGAUCUCAUUUCAACCUCUCAACAGCUUUAUGAGACAGGUAUUGUUAUUAUUUCCAUUUACAGAGGGAAAAAUGGAAACUUAGAGAAAUAAAUCACAUGCCCAAGUAGCUGGAGUACUUGAGAUCCAAAUUUAAGCCAGCUUCCCUGAGUUCACACUCUUAAUUACUAUACUGUAUUGCAUCUAAGGCUUCCUGUUUUCCUGCCUGGCCCAUUUAUUCAGUCACUCAUUGUACCAUAUUGUUAGUUCCCUGUUGGUCCUUCUGUUCAUGGCCUAUAGAAACUUACUGAAAGAAAAGAAUGUUCUGACAAGACAUGUUCUAGAGCCUGCUCUGUUGCCUUCAUACAUCUUUUUUCCCGUUACCCCUCUUAACUAUUAUUUUGCAGAUAAGUAAAGAAGGCUCUUUCAGGUUAGAUUCUCUAGAAGCAGACUCUGAGAUGAGGAUUCCUGUGGAGGGGAUUUAUUAGGAUGUGUUCCUAGUAGGAGCGAAGAAUUCGGGACUGGGAAGGGAAGAAGGCCACACAAGGGUAUUCAGCUUUGGCUCAAAACCACAAAAGCCUCAUAAUCACAGUGGGUCUAACCUUGGAGGUGUCCUCUUGGCAAGGCAAGGUGAUUGGGGUAUUUAUGUCCUCUGUACACAACAGGGCAGACACUAAGAGUUGCACACAUUCUCAGCCCUUUAGGCGCUCUGUCAGCCUGAAGGCAGCCUCUGACAAAAAGAUGGAGUGAGGCCUUUGAGAAAGAAGAAAAUAAGCCAGUCUGCACAAAAAUGGGAUGAGAGAAGAAAUGAGCAGAGCCCUGGCAACAUCUUUCAGAGGCCUAAUGAGAGGAUAUGAGUUUCUUCAAAGUGGCAGAGCUGCAAAUAAAACCUAGUUUAAUUCA